rnacentral:tRNA from 1 species
GCCCCAGUAGCUCAGGGGAUAGAGCACCGGCCUCCGGAGCCGGGAGCGCUGGUUCGAUUCCAGUCUGGGGCACCC